CUGACAUUGACCGAAGUACCCAUUUACUGAUAAUUUCUUCACUAUAGGUCUUCAUUCUUCUUGGUCUGGCAGCCGUUGUUGCUGCAGACAGCCCAGAUAUUUUUGCUUAUGGACCUCCUCGGGAUUCUUCCGAAGAGUCAUUCGAAUCGUUUGAGUCAGGGGAGGCCAAAUACGACUUCAGUUAUGCCGUUCAGCACGAAGACUCUGGCAACGACUUCGGCCACGAGGAAGCCCGUAACGGUGAAGACACUCAGGGAUCGUACUUCGUAAGGCUUCCCGACACCCGUCUGCAGAACGUCAAGUACUUCGUGGACGGUGACGAUGGCUAUGUGGCCGAGGUGAACUACGAGGGCGAGGCUCGUUUCCCCGACUCGUAUGAGUCUGCUUCCUUUGAAUCCAGGGAGUACAGGCCACCAAGGCCAGCUUACACCUAUGACUCCAACGAAUCCAAGUAAAUCGUUAGAUAUUUGACCUCUGAAUAAUGAUAACGAACCUUUUUUUCUUUUAUAUAUUUGAUGUGUAUUUAUUACAAAAUAAAAUGUGGACACGACUGAA